rnacentral:rRNA from 1 species
GAUGAACGCUGGCGGCGUGCCUAAUACAUGCAAGUCGAGCGAAUGGAUUGAGAGCUUGCUCUUAUGAAGUUAGCGGCGGACGGGUGAGUAACACGUGGGUAACCUGCCCAUAAGACUGGGAUAACUCCGGGAAACCGGGGCUAAUACCGGAUAACAUUUUGAACCGCAUGGUUCGAAAUUGAAAGGCGGCUUCGGCUGUCACUUAUGGAUGGACCCGCGUCGCAUUAGCUAGUUGGUGAGGUAACGGCUCACCAAGGCAACGAUGCGUAGCCGACCAGGGAGGGUGAUCGGCCACACUGGGACUGAGACACGGCCCGGACUCCUACGGGAGGCAGCAGUAGGGAAUCUUCCGCAAUGGACGAAAGUCUGACGGAGCAACGCCGCGUGAGUGAUGAAGGCUUUCGGGUCGUAAAACUCUGUUGUUAGGGAAGAACAAGUGCUAGUUGAAUAAGCUGGCACCUUGACGGUACCUAACCAGAAAGCCACGGCUAACUACGUGCCAGCCGCCGCGGUAA